CUCACAUAGUCACAAGGAAGUCCAGUCGGCCAUGGGGAGACCGAGAGCUACCACCACCGCAGCCUCUUCCAAGCCGAAGCCGAAGCCGAAGCCCAAGCCCAAGCCCAGGUCCAGGGCCAAGCCUAGGGCGACGCCCAGCCCCGUCUCCCUGCUCUCCGGCAUCUCCUCUCCUUACGCGUGCCGCACGCCGUCCCCUGCUGCCGCCGACCUCAGCUUCCUCUCGCCCUCCUCCCCGCCCGCGGAACCCGGAACCAGGAAUUCUUCGCCCCUCGCCGCCCCCACUACCAUGUCCACCAUCGGAGACCUGAGGAGCCUCGCCGCGUCGCACCUCGACUCCCUGAAGCGCCGCUUGGACGCGCUCCACGGCGACUAUGUCCGCGACCUUGAGGCCUCCCACUCCCGCAUCUCCAAGCGCGUCAAGAUGGAGUCCCAUGGCUGCCUGCAGCUAGCAGAGGAAGUGGACAAGGAACAGCAGAAGAUAGCCGACAAGAUCGCCGAGCGCGCCGAGCUGGUGAAGACCUCUUACAAGAAGUUCGUGGCUGAAGUGCAGGCGUCCACAUCCCGUGUGUGCAAGGUGACUGUCCCUGAGAUGACGAAGUCCAUGGAGAGGGCUAUUGAUGGCUUGCGCAGUCGCUACAUCUCCGCUAUACCAUCAGCUUAGCUGGUGCUGUUGUCCACAUCAAUUGAGGUCACAUGUUGAGUCUUAAAUCGGCUUCGCAGCAGGGACUUGCACAUUUGUACAUAAUAUCACCGUUGCAUGAGUACAUGAGAUAGUUCAUUGCUA